ACUUCUUCCAUAGGCUGAGGAUCAUUCCCUAAGGCAGAUUCAUCAGGCAGUGUAGAUUCAGCAUUAGACGCUACCCCCAAGGGAGAAAUGCACAAUUUCUUCAACUGUUUUUCAUCCCACAUGGAUUUUUCAUUGUAAACAAUAUAGGAAAAAGCCAUAUAGACUGAAUUAUGUUUCUAAAUGUCACACUUUACCCACAUACGACAAAUGCAGAAAAAAAAUCUGUGUUAGGAAGGUAUUAGGCAAACUGGAUGCUGGGUUGUAGAGUAUGAUCUGUCAUUAGCAAUAAUGAAAGCUCUUGCUUGUUGAAAGUAGUUGAGUUGAACUUUAAGAAUAUGGGGCAAAGCUAACUGAUAGCAAGGAAAUUAAGCAAAUAGAAAAUUCUGCAUUUCAAAAGAUGAAUUAUAAUUAUUAAAAAAAAAAAAGAAAGAAAAAAGAAAUAGAAACAGAAAGCCAAUAUGAGACACCUGAAAGGUAGAGUUCAGGGUAGGAAUAGGAAGGAAAGGGGGAAGAUAGCUCAAGCCUGACUUUCAGGAGAGAAAAUGCAACCACUGGUUUUGUGUUUUGCAAAACAACACCCUAUACCUUACUGAUUCCUUUUCACUUAAUCCUGCUGCAUGCAACCGUCCAUCAACUACUGUGAAAUAGAAGUCUUACUGUCAGUUCAGGAGUAGGAAAUGUCUGGAUUCACAGAGACACAUGGAACCAACUCACUCUCAUCUUAGGUCUCUUUCCUCUUUCACGAAGGGUGGUUUCUCUAAUGAUGAUGGAGGGGAGAUGGAGAAAUAUUUCAUGGUAUCACCAGGAUUGUUCAAAGAUUCUAUGAGGCUACCAACCAAAACAGUGUAAUAAAUGCAGUUCUCAUGUGUUUGCCUAUUUUUGUUUUGUUAUUAUUCUUGAUGUUGUUGUAAACUUUUCUACUACUACAGUUGAAAAUUAUUGUUAAUUAUACCGUACCGCUGUAUGGUAUAAAUUCACUCCUUUUAAUUUAUAUCAGUUGCCAUUGGAUUGCAAAAAUUUUCCUUACACUGAGAGUUUAUUGUAAAAUCAUUAAUUAAGGAUUGGAAAAGAAACCAUACAAUGUUUAAGAAAAAAAAUACUAACACCAAUCACCAUCCUGGAAUAUAUUAGCAAAGUCUGAGCUAAAUUAGAGAGUUGAUAAAUAUAUUAGCACAGCACCAAUAGCACAUAACGAAAUAUUUUGAGGAGCAUAGGGAAAAUGAAUAAAGUUACUGAAAAUAAAUGCCAUUUUCUACAAUGGUUCAUGCAAAGGGUCUCCACUGUAUUAAAGCAUAUAAAAAUAAUGGAGAACAAAAUUGAGCUGUAAGCUCUGAGAUUUUCUACAUUUGCUUAUUUUUAACUUAGAAUUCAGGCAGGUGUCUGAGGCAAUAUACUACAGUUUCAUGUAUAAAUGAAGCAGUAAGUUUCAGUAACUUGAAAUUAAUUUAGAUUAAAAUUUAAGUUUAGCUCCAUACAGAACUGAGUUGUGAAAUAGUGCUGCCAAAAAUGAAUGGAAAUCUAAAUGUAAAAUGUCUAUUGGGUAACAGAAUAAUGGAAUAUAGGUUAAAGCCUUCGAUUUGCAGCCCACACUUAGUAAAGAGCAGAUAAAACCAAGUUUUUAAGUAUCUGGCCCAUGUAAGCCUGUCAGCAAGUUAGCAAUACUUACUUACUUUAUUUUGUAAGUACAAAUCACAUUUACAAUGAUGCCAUACAAAUCUUUAUCUGACUUUCAUGUUAAUGUUUCUGAAAAAGAUCCAAAAAAUAAAGUAUUUCUUUAGCUACUAAUAACACUUUUAAGCUACAUUUGAACUCUUUUAUUUAAAAACAAACAAGCAAUAAAAUCCUUUUGCUUCAUGGCAACAGUACUGUUCAAAUCAUUUGGAUAUUUUAUUAAAAUAUACAUCAAUAAGAAAUGUUAAAAAUCAGAAGUGACAUUAUUUUGGAGGGUGAAUUGCUAAUAAAGCAACACAGAUUUUCAUCCUGUGUGAAACAGCUGGACCAUGACGGGACCACAUUAGCACUAAUUAAAAUGAUAUUUUUUUGUGCAGUUUUUGUUAAUCCAGCUUCAUUGCACUCAAAAGGAUUUUUGCAAUCUGUAAUGAAGGCUAUUAUGUAAUCUUACUCUGGUUCUCUUGCAUCAGGUUACUGUGUGAAAUUUCCCCAUAAUAAACCAUAUUUUCUUAGAACUCUCACUCAAUAAAAUCAAUAUUAAGUUUUUU
rnacentral:lncRNA from 1 species